GAGAGUUUGAUCCUGGCUCAGGACGAACGCUGGCGGCGCGCCUAACACAUGCAAGUCGAACGAGCGAGAGAGAGCUUGCUUUCUCGAGCGAGUGGCGAACGGGUGAGUAACGCGUGAGGAACCUGCCUCAAAGAGGGGGACAACAGUUGGAAACGACUGCUAAUACCGCAUAAGCCCACGGCUCGGCAUCGAGCAGAGGGAAAAGGAGCAAUCCGCUUUGAGAUGGCCUCGCGUCCGAUUAGCUAGUUGGUGAGGUAACGGCCCACCAAGGCGACGAUCGGUAGCCGGACUGAGAGGUUGAACGGCCACAUUGGGACUGAGACACGGCCCAGACUCCUACGGGAGGCAGCAGUGGGGAAUAUUGCACAAUGGGGGAAACCCUGAUGCAGCGACGCCGCGUGGAGGAAGAAGGUCUUCGGAUUGUAAACUCCUGUUGUUGGGGAAGAUAAUGACGGUACCCAACAAGGAAGUGACGGCUAACUACGUGCCAGCAGCCGCGGUAAAACGUAGGUCACAAGCGUUGUCCGGAAUUACUGGGUGUAAAGGGAGCGCAGGCGGGAAGACAAGUUGGAAGUGAAAUCUAUGGGCUCAACCCAUAAACUGCUUUCAAAACUGUUUUUCUUGAGUAGUGCAGAGGUAGGCGGAAUUCCCGGUGUAGCGGUGGAAUGCGUAGAUAUCGGGAGGAACACCAGUGGCGAAGGCGGCCUACUGGGCACCAACUGACGCUGAGGCUCGAAAGUGUGGGUAGCAAACAGGAUUAGAUACCCUGGUAGUCCACACCGUAAACGAUGAUUACUAGGUGUUGGAGGAUUGACCCCUUCAGUGCCGCAGUUAACACAAUAAGUAAUCCACCUGGGGAGUACGACCGCAAGGUUGAAACUCAAAGGAAUUGACGGGGGCCCGCACAAGCAGUGGAGUAUGUGGUUUAAUUCGACGCAACGCGAAGAACCUUACCAAGUCUUGACAUCCCUUGACAGACAUAGAAAUAUGUAAUCUCUUCGGAGCAAGGAGACAGGUGGUGCAUGGUUGUCGUCAGCUCGUGUCGUGAGAUGUUGGGUUAAGUCCCGCAACGAGCGCAACCCUUAUGGUCAGUUACUACGCAAGAGGACUCUGGCCAGACUGCCGUUGACAAAACGGAGGAAG
rnacentral:rRNA from 1 species